rnacentral:misc_RNA from 1 species
GAUGAAGAACGUAGCGAAAUGCGAUAAGUAAUGUGAAUUGCAGAAUUCAGUGAAUCAUCGAAUCUUUGAACGCACAUUGCGCCCUCUGGUAUUCCGGGGGGCAUGCCUGUUCGAGCGUCAUUAUAACCACUCAAGCUCUCGCUUGGUAUUGGGGUUCGCGGUUCCGCGGCCCCUAGAAUCAGUGGCGGUGCCUGUCGGCUCUACGCGUAGUAAUACUCCUCGCGAUUGAGUCCGGUAGGUCUACUUGCCAGCAACCCCCAAUUUUUACAGGUUGACCUCGGAUCAGGUAGGGAUACCCGCUGAACUUAAGCAUAUCAAUAAGCGGAGGA